CCUCGCUUGACAAAAUGAGAACACUUUAACAGACUGGACCCUCCAGACUUCGGAGACGUAGAGAGAUCACCUUCAGAUUCUGAUUAACAACCAUUAACAAGCAAAGCAUCACAUAAUGAAGACAGCAGACAGAAACAAGACGACGGCAGCAGGUGAGUGAGAAACGCCGGGAAAUAACAAGAAGACGACAGACAUCUGAUGCUUUACCAGAGAAGAAGAAGAAGAGAGACCAUUAUCAAUAACACAGAGACAUAAUAGAUCCAGGAUGAUUUCUGAAAAUCUAUAUAUU